rnacentral:hammerhead_ribozyme from 1 species
GCACUGCUGAGGUGUCCCACAAUAGGACGAAACAGUCGUCUAGUGC